rnacentral:misc_RNA from 1 species
UCUCCGUUGGUGAACCAGCGGAGGGAUCAUUAUAGAGUUUUCUAAACUCCCAACCCAUGUGAACUUACCUUUUGUUGCCUCGGCAGAAGUUAUAGGUCUUCUUAUAGCUGCUGCCGGCGGACCACUAAACUCUGUUAUACUAUUGUAAUCUGAGCGUCUUAUUUUAAUAAGUCAAAACUUUCAACAACGGAUCUCUUGGUUCUGGCAUCGAUGAAGAACGCAGC